AUGAACCUAGCAGCUGCCUGCACUUCGAUGGAGGUGAAGGCAAGGCCGGCGAGGGGCGGAAAGAGGACCAGGGCGAGCGGAGGCAUGGCGGUACCGGUGGAGAAGAAGGUGUUGGAGAGGGAGAGGAGGCAGCGCAUGAAGGCGCUAUGCGAGAAGCUCGGGUCCCUCAUCCCAAAAGAACACUUCCCCCACGCUGAUACAAUGACCCAGUUAGGCAGCCUGGAUGUGGCGGCAUCAUACAUCAAGAAGCUCACGGAGUGGGUCGAUGAGCUACAACACAAGAAGACCUCUAUACAAGCCAUGGCUACCUUACUGGGAGUUAAUGGCAUCUCAACGCCCAUUAUCACCGCUACCAGAAGCAGCGGCGCAGGGUCACCAGAAGGAGGAAACAAAAUGGAGGCAUCACCACUAGUAGUGGAGGUGCGGCAACCCGGCUAUGCAAGCAUGGAGGCCUUCAGCACUAGAAUUGGCAUAGAUGCUUCAAGAAUUUCCGAACGACUGGGAGCAUUUGUAUGA
rnacentral:rRNA from 1 species